GUUGUCCUCAAUUCUGUAGGACCCGUACAUUGACUGUUAAGGAAAGUUUCCUGACCUUACAUUCAGGACCUGAGCAGUUGCCGUAAAUCUUCAUUUGUUAUACUGUUGUGUGUCAACAAGUAUAGUUCAGAACUUGAGGUGCACUUGAACUUCCCUAAGGAAACCACAUGAUAUGAGAUGCUGAGAAAAAUUAAAUUGAUGUAUCUCCAGUGUACAACUUUCAUUUGAAGAUUGAAUAAAGAUUAGGAAAAAGAAGCUCAGUUCCUGGGGUCAAUGCAGUGGUUUAUACAGCAACUUAAACAACAGCAAUGAAAAAGUAGCAUCUAGGUGUUCAUUUCAUCUGCUUUCCAAAUGAAGUGACCAAACACCUCAAGAGGAUCUGGAUUUUUCCUGCAAGGAAGAACUUGUUGUCUUCACUUGUCUUCAAAUAAACUGAAACUUGAAGUAAAAAAUUUCACUAUACCUACACAUAGUAAGUACAUGAUAAAUACUAAUUACUCAGUUGAUUACAUAGGAUCAAUUAGAGUAAACAUUGUGUGCCAAGUGACUACCCAAGGAAUUCUAGAAAUCAGUUAACAUUUUUAUGUAGUGCACAACGCAAGGCUUUAUUAUGUGUUACUGUGUCAUUAUACCUUGGGUUAUUUAUUGUGCUAAUCACUAGGGUUGCAAAAAUAAAAAUAUACAAGAAUCUCAAAUAUAGCAAGAGUUGCAACCAAGCAAAUCACCUCACAAAAUUAUGUAUAAAAUUCAGAGGGAUGAUCUUGAAGGCAGUGAAGGAUAUUAAAAAUCUCAUAGAAGAGAUAAUGCCAUACCAAAUUCCUACUCACCCUGGAAAUCACACUGGUUUUGAGGUUGAGUAGGAAUUUUGACAAGGCCAUAUACAAUUGAAAGUUAUGUGUGUGUGUGUAUAUAUAUAUAUAUACAUUGUGUGUGUAUGUAUAUAUGUGUGUGUGUGUGUGUGUGUGUGUGUAUAAAAUGACUGUGUGUAUAUGUAAAGUUAUGUUGGGGGCUGGAACAUUGUGGUAGGCAGAAUAAUGACCUCCCAAGAUAUCCAGAUCCUGGAUCCUGGAACCUGUGAAUGAUACCUUAUAGGGCAAACAGGACUCUGCAGAUGAGAUUAAAUUAAAGAUCCUGAGAUGGGAGGAAUUACCCUGGAAUACCCUCAUGAGCCUACCUGUGAUCACAAGUGUCCUGGUAAAAGGGAGGCAGAGGGAGAUUUGACUACAAAAGGAGAAGAGGUGAUGUGAUGAGGAAAGCAGAAACUGGAAGAUGUGUUUUGAAGGUGGAGAAAGAGCACAAGCCAAGGAACACAGGCCACUGGAAGCUGAAAAAGGCAAGGUGAUUGGAUUUCCCUCUCAGCCUUCACAAGGAAGCAUCCUUGCUGAUAAUUUGAAGUCAGCUCGUGUAUCUAAUGAUUUCAGACCUCAGACCUCCAAAACUGUAAGAUAAUGAAUGUAUGAUUUAUUAAUACCAAUAAGUUUGUGGUAGUUUGUUACAGUGGCAAUAGGAAACUAAUACAAGCAUGAGCUCUCAUGCUGAAAAGCCUCACUAGAAUCACAAACCUGACUCCAAAGAGCAUGGGAUAGGAAAGAGUUCCAGUUCCAGAAUCCUAGGAAACAAACAUUGAAAACUGCAUAAAGAAGAUCCAAUGAGAGAGACUGAAAAAAAAAAAAAUCAAGGGAAAGAGUAUAAAGAAAUGAUGAUGUUGAACCCAAAGGAAGAAUUCUGUAGAAAUCUGCCCUCUCUUGCAUACCAGACAGAGAGACAGUAGAGAUAGGUGAUUGCAAAGCAGUGCUGGCAUUCUAAAUGAGAUUAUAAUUCAUAAAUCUGUAUUUGUUUUUCUACCAAUAUUUGAGGUAAUGGGAUUAAAAAAUCAAAUGUAAUGGGAAUAUGUACAUCAAAAAGGGUAUGAACUUGCAGGAAUUUAUAAAGUGCUUCAUAUGCUUUCCCUUUUGUACUUUAGGGUAUUCUAAAUUUUAUUUUAGUAUAAUGAUAUGAUAGUAAAUGCAUUUAAACCUGGCCCUCAAUUAUGAGUCUUAAAAAUAACCCUACUAAUUCUUUAUGAUUAAAAAAAAUUCUCAGCCGUUUGGUUUUAUAGUAUAUAUGCAUAUUGGUGAGUCUUCUCACUGCCUUUUAUAAAUAAAAUGCUAUUAUGGUUUCUGGUUAGAGGUUAGGAAUUUUCAUUCUCUGGAAAAUGAAAUUAAAAGAGAUGAAACACAUUUAUACACACUAGAAACAAGGAUACCAGUUGAUCUGUGAAAUGUGAAGUGUCUGAUGCAAAUAUGAAGAAAAAGACAUUUAGAAAGGAAAAUAUCUACCUUUGAGUGCCCUUUUAACUUGGUCAUGAUAUCACUGUGGUUAUUAUUCGUGAGUAGUAAGGUCAUUAAUCUCCAUUUGAAUAAAAAUAAGGAGCCAGACUUGUUUGUAUGAAAUCAGAAGGCAUUCUAAACUUCGUGUUUUUCUACUUCAUAUUUCUUAGAUAAGGAGAUUCUUUGAUCAAAAGGCUAACAAAAAUGACUGUUUUCUGUAAGUUUUAUUCACAUACAAAGUUUAAUUUUAGUAGACACUGCUUUUGAACUAAAUAUAGCCUUUCUUACUAACCAUAAGUCACACCAAAUUGAGCUGUUAUAAAAUAUUAAAUCAAUUUUACUUAAUUUCCUCUAAGGAUGUAAAAAUGAGAUAUUUCUUUUCACUUAUUUAUUUAUUUAUUUUUUGGUGAACAGUCAGUUUACAGUGUUGCAUCAGCCUCUGGUGCACAGCAUAAUGCCUCAGUCAUACGUAUACAUUCAUGUAUUCCCUUUCAUAUUCUUUUUCAUUCUAGGUUACUACAAGAUAUUGAAUAUAGUUCCUUGUGUCCUUUUCCCAUUUUUAACAUAUUUAUUACAACAAACCUUAUAUUUCCAUGUAUAGAGGACUUAGAUCUUGUUUCCAGGGUUGAAUCAUGGAAUUCUAAAGAGCCAGACACUUCUCCACAGCAUUUCCUCACCUCACCAAUGACUUGGGCAGGAGGAGAUCAGGGCUCAGUUCAGGAUAUGUGGUGAUUCUCCUGGAGAUUUCACUGUUUUUUCCAUCAAGGCCCUCUUGAUGCACAAGCACUGGCUAUAAGACUUCAUAGUGCUGCUUGGCUCAUUAGACUCUGUUGCAGAGGGCAGCCUUGAUGAGCAGGAUAAAGCAACAGCUAAGCCAAAGACCCUGCCAGGUCCUUUGAAUUCUUUUUUCCGGAGUUUGUUUCUUGGUGGGAAGAGGAGGAGUUUAACAUGGAUGGAAGAGUGAACAAUGACUUCAGGUUUUCUCUUGUGGAUGACUGGGUGAGUAAUCAUGCCAUGGGUAAAACAGCAGAUCCUGGGAGUAGAAUUGGUUUUGUUGGGGAAUAUAAUUAAUUCAUUUGAGGUUGUGUUAGAUGUGAUUUACUUAUAGAACAGUCUGAAUGUUUAUUUGGAAAUUUAAUAUUCAGAAAUGAAUUAAGGACAAAAGACAUAGAUUUGUAAGUCACAUACAUAUGUGUAAUAAUUAAGUGAAGAUUCUUGAUGAAAUUAUCCAGCCCUCUUCCCUAAAAUGAGAUCUUUUAAAAAAGAGGGCUAAAGAUGGAGUCCUGAGAUGAGCAAUGUACCAUAAAAGAUGGAGAAGUAUCCAUCAGAGUGGUGGGGAGAGGAAGGCGUUGUAUGGGAGAAAGUUCCCAGGGAAAGGGCUGUGUCAGAUGUCUCACCGGGUGAAAAAAUUACAACAGUUGAAGAAAUGUAUAGGCAGGAUUUGGCCACUAGGAAAUUACUUUUUUGUUACAGCAGCUUUUACACAGGAUAUUGGAACACAUAUUGGAUGACAAAGUUGGAGGAUUGAAUUUCAGUGGAAGAAACACAGAAGAUGAGAUGCUUGGUGGCAUCAGGAGGCAAAGAGAGAGAGAAAGAGAGGCAGAGGAAAGAAAGAAUCCUUGCAUAAUUAUGUCAGUUUUAGAAAUUUAAGAGUAGUUUUAUCCAGUGCAGAGAUUGAUUACGGACGGUAGGAAGAGACAGUAACUUGUGGAGUGAGAUUUUACAAUGACCACAUCAGGACACAUCUCCGCCUGCUGACAGGGGUUACUGAGCCCGCUGUGAUUUCAUGCUCAUGGGCUGUGCCACGUAAUACCAAGGUUUAUAUUUCACCCUGUCUUUAUCACAUCGUACUGUCCCACAGCCUUGUUCACCAUUUCUGGUAGAUUAAGGGGUGACAUUAGUGUUUUAUAUUUUCGUGUAUUUGUGUGGCCAUGCUAGAGAUUACAUUUAUUUCAACAGGUGUUUCUUAUGGACAGAGCAGCAGUGACACUGAAGCUCUACAUCAGACGUAUUGUCAUGUAGCCCUUUCUUGGGAAGAUGCAAAUGAACAAGGAUCUGAGAGUGAUGCAGGGGGACAUACCGAGAGCUCGGUGAAAGAGCAUCCUCAAGAAGAUAAAGAAGAGGUGGUAUAUUUAUACAAUGGAAUACUACUCAGCCAUAAAAACCAACAACAUAACGCCAUUUGCAGCAACAUGGAUGCUCCUGGAGAAUGUCAUUCUAAGUGAAAUCUGCCCAUGGUAGAGGAGCUGAUGAAGCCUAUCAGAAUAGAUUCCUUUGGGGUUGGUGGUUUUGAUUUACAACCUGUCAGCUACAAGAAACUGGCUGAGAAUAAAGAAACUGAAUUUGUUAACAAUUUACCCCUUAAGAUGAAUCCAAAUGUUAUGUCUCAAGAAACAAAAUGUGAACCAAUUUUUGGACAAAAAUGAAGAGCAUAUAGUUUUACAAAAGUCACCAAUGAAGUGAAGUAGCUUUGAAGAAUCAAACAAAAAUCAAAGGUGGUUGCAGUUUGAGGAAACAUCGGAUCCUGUCACUGAAGAAAAAGCAAAGCAAAUCCAAAAAGAAAUAGGAACAAGAGACACUUCUUCAGGGAUGUCAACAGUAGACAAUAUUGGCUGGUUUUGAUAUUAUAUUCAGAAAUAUGAAUCUGAAAUCAAUUGCCAAUGCCCUGAGAUUGAAAAAAAUUUGACUUAAAAUUGGGAGAAAAUAUAUGUGUCCUGUAGAAGUCAGACAUUUGUUCUGUGUGAUGGCAUCUUGGUGGAGCUGACCUGACAGUAGUAGCCUAAGCCUACAGCCUGCCAAUAAGAAGCAUUUUCACUGCAGGGAUGCCCAGAGAAAGUGUUAACCACAUCAGAGAUGGCAGCAUUUACUACAAAUGGGGUAGCACUGAUUUUGCAGGACACGCGGCCCUAGAGUUAUUGAGAGCCAUCCAGACCCUCCGCCUGCUGUUCUGCACUUGCUGCGCGGAGCGUGCACUUUAAGGAACAGACCUGAAUAUCAAGAAAGAGAAAACCGGUUUAUUGGAAGACCUCAAAAGACUGAAGCAAGACAAGCAAGCUCUUGAAGCAGACUUGGGAAAAAUGAAGACAGAGACCAAGCCAGAGAGCAGGUGCAUGCACCUCAUGGAGCACGCCGAGCUGGGAUAGUCACUUUAUACUCGUAACUGUUCUGAACUUGAGUCAAUAACUGCAAGAUUGAAGAAACUCAAAGAUUAUUUUGAAUUCGUGGCACUGCGUGCACAGUUGUUUGCAGUCCUCCCAGCCAGACGGUGACCUUCCAGGGCCUGGUCUCCCUUUUUAUCCCUGGGCCUGAAAUGUAAGCUCUCAAGUGUUUAACAAAUGAAAAGACAACACCAUGCUGUGUUUGUAGAAGACUGAAAGGUGAAUAUUGCAUUCCCCACCGGGGAAAACAAAGGAGGAGUUAGAUAAGAAUGCAGGAAAGUUUAAUAUUAAAAAAAUUAGAAAUAAACAGAAGGGUACUAGUAAGGGUUUCAGGGAGGAGAAGAGUUUGAGCUGAGUCCUGGCAGGUGGAGGGCCUUGGGAGGAGAGGAGGGAGGCCACCCAGCUGUGUCUCAUGGGCGUGUCACUGAGCUCACCUGUCCUGGGCCAGAGGCGGGCCAGGCACAGGGCCAGAAAGGUCGAUCUGCAGAGCCCUUGUUUGCCGAAGGAAGUAUCUUUUCUCUGUGAUUUUAUGAUCUUCAGUGUAAGAUACGUACAAAUAAAAUCCACUAACCUGUUUGUAAGAACUAUAUUUUCCUAGUCUGUAAAAUAGAAUAAUAAUCGUCACUCCCAUCAUGUGUUUGUUGUGUUAAGUAAAAUCAUACAAACUUUGAGAAUUGGGACUGUGAACACAGCCUUCUUUUACUAACACACUAGACUGGACACAACCUUGCUACAUCCAUUGUUUUGUUUUGUUUUGUUUUUGCCUCUUAUUUUUUCAUAAUGUUUUCAUUAGAUAGGCAUUGGUUUUCAUGUGAAAUAUUUUAAUUUAGUUAUUUCUAUAUUUUGAAAAAUUUGGGUUAUUGAGUUACUUUAUCUUAUAGGUGAAAAAUUACAUAAAAUAAAACUUUUAGAAGAAACACAUAAGAAAUGAGUUACCUGCAGAAAAGAUUACAGUGGUGUGCUGAAAACCAGGGGCUUCUGGGUAAUUAUGCAGUUCAGCUUCAGGAAGCAAAUGAAGAUACUGAGAAGCUCAGACCUGAGGUGAUAGAGUGCUCCAGAAUGUGUUCCUCUAGAUGAACGCUGUUAACUUUAACAGCCAGCUCUUAGUCUCAUGUCACUGAACCAGUGCUCUAAAUUCUGUUAAUUGAAACAGCUGAUUUGGGUUUGGUUUUCUUUUCUUUGUGUAGUCUGUUUUAGAUUAGACUGAGAAUACAGUCCACUGUCCAUAUCUAGGGUCUCCCUAUCCAGUGGAUUCAACCAACUGUGGAUUGAAAGUAUUUGGGGAAAAGCAGAAACUUCCAAAAAGCAACACUUGAAUUUGCCACACGCUGGCAACUACUUACAUAGCAUUCACAUUACAUCAGACAUCAUGAGUAAUCUAGAGAUGAUUUGAAGGAUACG